rnacentral:rRNA from 1 species
AAAGGUAACGGAGGCGCUCAAAGGUUCCCUCAGAAUGGUUGGAAAUCAUUCAUAGAGUGUAAAGGCAUAAGGGAGCUUGACUGCGAGACCUACAAGUCGAGCAGGGUCGAAAGACGGACUUAGUGAUCCGGUGGUUCCGCAUGGAAGGGCCAUCGCUCAACGGAUAAAAGCUACCCCGGGGAUAACAGGCUUAUCUCCCCCAAGAGUUCACAUCGACGGGGAGGUUUGGCACCUCGAUGUCGGCUCAUCGCAUCCUGGGGCUGUAGUCGGUCCCAAGGGUUGGGCUGUUCGCCCAUUAAAGCGGUACGCGAGCUGGGUUCAGAACGUCGUGAGACAGUUCGGUCCCUAUCCGUCGUGGGCGUAGGAAAUUUGAGAGGAGCUGUCCUUAGUACGAGAGGACCGGGAUGGACAUACCUCUGGUGUACCAGUUGUCGUGCCAACGGCAUAGCUGGGUAGCUAUGUGUGGACGGGAUAAGUGCUGAAAGCAUCUAAGCAUGAAGCCCCCCUCAAGAUGAGAUUUCCCAACUUCGGUUAUAAGAUCCCUCAAAGAUGAUGAGGUUAAUAGGUUCGAGGUGGAAGCAUGGUGACAUGUGGAGCUGACGAAUACUAAUCG